rnacentral:SRP_RNA from 1 species
CUUGAUCGUCUUGCCUGUAAAAGGAUACAUAAAGGUGACAAGGGCUUGUAGUCCCAGCUACUCAGGAGUUCCGGACUGCAGUGAGCUGCGCUGAUCAGGUGUCCACACUAAGUUCCGUGUCAGUAUUGUGACCUCCAGGGAGUGGGGGCACCACAAGGGUUGUCUGAGAAGGGGGUGAACUGACCCAGGUUGGAAACGGAACAGGUCAAAGCUCCUGUGCAGAUCAGCAGUGGGUUCGUGCCUGUGAACAGCCACUGCACUCCAGCCUGAACAGCAUGGUGAGACCCGUAUCUA